AAACCUGUGUAAUGGAUAAGGCGUCUGACUUCUAAUCAGAAGAUUGCAGGUUCGACCCCUGCCUGGGUCA
rnacentral:tRNA from 1 species